CAAUAGCGUAUAUUAAAGUUGUUGCAGUUAAAAAGCUCGUAGUUGGAUUUCUGGUGGGAGCGAUCGGUCUGGCGCUUAGCGCGAGUACUUGCAUCGUCUCCGGCCAUCCUUGGGGAGAGUCUGUCUGGCAUUAAGUUGUCGGGCAGAGGAUCCUCAUCGUUUACUGUGAAAAAAUUAGAGUGUUCAAAGCAGGCUUAUGCCGUUGAAUAUAUUAGCAUGGAAUAAUAAGAUAGGACUUUGGUACUAUUUUGUUGGUUUGCGCACCAAAGUAAUGAUUAAUAGGGACAGUUGGGGGUAUUCGUAUUCCGUUGUCAGAGGUGAAAUUCUUGGAUUUACGGAAGACGAACUACUGCGAAAGCAUUGACCAAGGAUGUUUUCAUUAA
rnacentral:rRNA from 1 species